UACGGAGAGUGCAAGCAUUAAUCGGAAUUAUUGGGCGUAAAGGGCGCGUAGGCGGAACGAUAAGUCAGAUGUGAAAUUCCGGAGCUCAACUUCGGAGCUGCAUUUGAAACUAUCAUUCUUGAGGAUUGACGGAGAAAACGGAAUUCCACGUGUAGCGGUGAAAUGCGUAGAUAUGUGGAAGAACACCGGUGGCGAAAGCGGUUUUCUAGUUUAUUCCUGACGCUGAGGCGCGAGAGCAAGGGGAGCAAACAGG
rnacentral:rRNA from 1 species